GACGAACGCUGGCGGCAUGCCUAAUACAUGCAAGUCGAGCGAACAUUUAUAGAUGCUUGCUUCUAUCAAUGUUAGCGGCGUGUGGAUGAGUAACACGUCUGCAACCUGCCCUGCAGUUAGGUAUAAAUACGGGAAAUAGGAGCUCAUACCGGAUAAUCAGUUUGGCCGCAUGGCUUCACUCUUAACGCCAGCUUAGGCUCCUACGUCGGAUUAGCUAGUUGGUGGGUUAACGGCCUACCAAGGCAACGAUCCGUAACUGGUCUGAGAGGUUGAUCAGCCACACUGGAACUGAGACACGGCCCAGACUCCUACGGGAGGCAGCAGUGGGGAAUAUUCCACAAUGGGCGGAAGUCUGAUGGAGCAAUGCCGCGUGAGUGAAGAAGGUUUUCGGAUUGUAAAGCACUGUUGUGAGGGAAGAAGAGGAGCAAGUGUAACUGCCCGUACUUUGACGUUACCUAAAGAGAAAGCAACGGCUAACUACGUG
rnacentral:rRNA from 1 species